GAUGAACGCUGGCGGCGUGCCUAAUACAUGCAAGUCGAGCGAACAGAUGAGAAGCUUGCUUCUCUGAUGUUAGCGGCGGACGGGUGAGUAACACGUGGGUAACCUACCUAUAAGACUGGGAUAACUCCGGGAAACCGGGGCUAAUACCGGAUAAUAUUUUGAACCGCAUGGUUCAAUAGUGAAAGACGGUUUCGGCUGUCACUUAUAGAUGGACCCGCGCCGUAUUAGCUAGUUAGUAAGGUAACGGCUUACCAAGGCGACGAUACGUAGCCGACCUGAGAGGGUGAUCGGCCACACUGGAACUGAGACACGGUCCAGACUCCUACGGGAGGCAGCAGUAGGGACUCUUCCGCGAUGGGCGAAAGCGUGACGGUGCAACGCCGCGUGAGUGAUGAAGGUCUUCGGAUCGUAAAACUCUGUUGUUAGGGAAGAACAAAUUUGUUAGUAACUGAACAAAUCUUGACGGUACCUAACCAGAAAGCCACGGCUAACUACGUGCCAGCCGCCGCCGUAA
rnacentral:rRNA from 1 species